UUGUAACUUAAGUUUGUUACCAUAGUGAACCCAGCCACCCACGCAAAUCGAUCCAUCACCGUGCGCUAUUAGGGUUCGUAAUUGAAAACCCAUAGUAUCUCGACACUUUUAGAAACUAAAAAAUUCUGUGUACGAAGCGAUAUCCAGCCAUUUCUUCUCCAGACGAAAUUUUGUCUGUCUUCCCAAGGCACUAAUCAUAUUGCUCUGGAUGAAGAUUCGGCAUAGCAUGAUGCUGUUGUUGUGAGGAUGGCAUUGCUUGUGAAUAUUCUCAGAGGUGUUAUUGAAGCUAUAUGUUCUCGUACAUCUACACAGAUACUGACCUGCAAGAAGAUCGACCUCGUAAAGUUUGGAUCCUACCGUCCUAUCAAGAGCAUGAUCAGUAAAAUCAUGCUUCUGGAGCUUUUGCUUGCAUAUGCAGGCAUAUAGCACUGUGAAGGUUUCAAGUUGAUAGAAUGAUGGAGAGACUCUAUAAAGCUGGGGAGAAGAGAAUGGGAACUGAUGAGGAUAUGCUCAUAAGAAUUAUAACCAGGAGAGGCAUGGUACACCUUGCUGCUGUUAAGAAAGAGACGUCUGGAAUUUUUGCUUUUGAUCUUCUGACAACUUUAAGAUGUGUGGAAAACCUAGCAAAAUACUAUGCAAAGAUAACAUUUAUGUACUCGCAUUUGCUGUUUAACUCUUGAGGUCUACUGCUUGGAGUCUCAAACUGUUUCUACUAGAUGCUGUCCCUGUUUUUUUUUUUUACAAUAUCUUCAUUGAUAGUACAAGGUGGCUCAAGCUAAGAUUUCACAUUCGCCUUUAUGUGGGACGGAGUAUAUUCCACUUUCAAAUCACAGUCUAAGUAUUGCCCUUCUUGUUGCAUUACUGGUACUUGCGAAAGCAAUCAUGGAUUUGGGCAUUGAUGACUCAACAUUGGGGUUAUUAUGACAGGGGUCGAGAUUGAUAUGCAAUACAUAAAAUCGAGUAUUUGAAGUAUAAGAUGUCAUUGGUUGUUGCAGUUCAUACAGAAACUUUUGGUGCUUACAGUAAUUUUCUUCUUGCUCUCCUGUGUCCAAUAUACUGUGUUUUGGGGUUGUUUGGCAAGUGAUUGUUAGAUGUUGGCUUUUUAGUUGGCUUGUUUGACCAACUGAAAGUAUUGACUAAUUUUGUUGGUAAUUAAGCUAGCUGAAUAAACCAAUUGUUUUGCGAUAUGUUUGGUAAAAUUAGAGGAAAAGUGAAAUAACAAGCAAAACAUCAUUUAAAAAAGCCAACAAAGUUAGCCUAUUCAUUUGGGCUUAAAAUCCAGCUUUUCAGCUGGCCAAAAGCCAUUUACCAAAUACGUUUUUUUUUUGCUUUUUGACUAGUCAACAAGCUAAAAGCCAAAAGCCAAAAACCAACCAAAAAAAUCACACUCAAAAUCUGUUUACCAAACAAGUCCUAUAUGUGAUGUUUAUAGCAUCUUAGGAACCAAGCCUUUUGUGUGAAUUUGUACUUCCAAGUCUGCUAAUUAAUGUAGAUUGUUUGGUUUAAAUAGAUUGUUGCCUUUUCCACUUAAACAUAAUUCUUUACCUCUCUUCAUUCCAUAUUAUGUGCCACUUUGCAAUCAGGGCAUGUUCUAUCCAACUUAUUUUCGAUUUAGUUCAAUUUUGCCCAUUACUUUCACAUUUGCACAAGUAUGUCAGUUAUCAGAUUGAUAACUACUUUUAUUCCACACUUUUCAUUCUUCAAUGUAUGAUAUAUUAAUAAGCGAUACUUGUUUGGUUGUCACUUGUAUGAUGUAUGAAUUAUCAUGGGUGCGACGACCUAAAAUGAUACUAAGAUUAUGGAGCAUUGUGUGUGACUAACAGACUGAUACGUGUCCAAGUAUCACGAUCCAGUUGAGGGAAGUUGGGAGAGGAUAGGUCAUGUGCUUUUGGCACUUUGCAAAGGAAAGGAUGAUGAGACAUGUUUUGAUUGUAGGGAAGGGAAGAUAGAAUGAGGAAACAUAGGUAUUUAGGGUUGAGGCCUUAAUAUUAGAAGAUUGAUGGGCCUGGGUAAGGUUUAGACGUAGUAAGGAGAAAAGAUUGGCGUGGGGAGUUUGUUGGAGAAGAUAGAAUCUAUGUUGAAUAGGUCUAAAUUGUACUCCCUUCGUUUUUAUAUGUUCUUGUCCAAUACAAUUUACGAAUUUUCAACUUUUAGUGUUAAACUUUGACUAUGAUUUCUCAUUGAUAUAUAAGACUAAACAUAUUUAUGUGAAAUCUUGAUAGAUUCAUAUCAAUAUAUACUUUCUAAAUAUCUAACUUUUUAAAAUUUUUAAAAACUUAUAAUUUAAAUUAUUUGACCUUUAAGUUUACAUUGGGAUUCGCAAAAAAGUAAAUGAGAAAAACAAAUGAAAACCGAAGAAAUAUGAACUGCGCUGACUAAUAGUUCGUGCCUUUAGGAAAUUUAUAGGUUGUUUUAAUAGUUAAAAUGUUGAAUGUUUUUCCUUCCACCCUUGUGAUAGAAACUUAGAUUACACCACGAAGGUUAAUUUUUACUUCCUCUCAACUCUAUAGGGAAAAUCACCUUAUCUAUUUCCUUAUAUUGGCACUCACUAAUUUUUUUUAUAAAAGCGUAAGUGCCUAAGUGGAAUUGCCUAAAUUUGCAGAGUAGAAAUAGUAAGUAAUGAACAAUGUAUUUAAAUGGAAAUUUAAAUUUAUUACUCUAUUUAUUGUUCUCAUUUUGCACCACUUUUUAUUUUAGUUUGUUCCACUAAUUAUGUAAUAAUUUCCCUUUUGGUAAUUGUCCAACUUUCCUUUUAAUAUCAUCUACAAAAUCAUACUUUUUCUUCGUUUUAAUUAUAUUUUUUUUUCUUCACUUGUUUUUUGUCUUGUUUUUUAACUUCUUUCCACGAAUUUCACUCAUUUUGCGCACUAAGUGUUAAGUAAAAUGAGAAGGACAAAGGGCCCGAUGGUUAUGUCAAUGCAAAAGUUGGUAUGAUGUCUAUAUGUAUGCUUCUCUGUUCCUUUUUUUUUUCUCUCGAAUGGUCUUGCAGCUAGCUUGAUGUUUAUUGAUGUGUAUUAUUAUUACUGGUCCAAAAAACAAAAUGCUUCAUAUCAUUAUUACAACUUACAAGUGCUCAUCUACAUUAUGAAAUUAGAAAGUGACAUACAGAAUAGAACGAUUUCUCAUACUCGUGUGUUUGUCACUUGUGAGUUGUGAGUUGGCUUUCUGCUAUCUUCAUUUAAUUGGAUAUGACUCCAUAUUAUUGGAUCAUUCUUUUAAUUUCAGCCCCAAAAUGGAAUACUUUUUUUUUUUAAUAUUGCUCCAAAAUUAUAUUUUAAUACUAUGGUUAGAUAGCAACUUUGGAGAGAAAAGAAAGAAAAGAGAAAGGGAGGGAAGAGAAUUGAAAGGGAAAAAACUCUUGUUCAUUUAGGAGGGAAGGAAAGGAAAAGAAAAGAAGAUAAGAAUUUUUCAUUCAAAUUUUUUCAACUUUAAAAAGAUUAUUAGCAAGUUUUGUAUGAGACCAUCUUACCGUGAGAUGGGCCCAUACAAGUUUUCCAAAAAUUAAAAUGUAAUUUUGAGAAAAUAUUAAUGAAACUGAAAAGGUAAUCAACUGUUUUAGUUUUUAGGCUAGCCUAUAUUAAGCCGUCUCACGAUGAAACGGUCUUAAUAAAGUAUUUUUCAAAGAUUAAUACCUUAACAAAAAACAUCCAUCUAAUUCCUUUAAAUUCUCUUCCUCUCAUUUUAUUAUUCAAAAAAGCGAUUCUUCAUCCUUUUAAAUUUAUCCCUUUUUUUUCUUCAAUUUCCUUUUAUCUAAAAGUUCAUAUUGAUUACUAUAAUUCUAAAAGCCUAUUGCGCCUUUUAUUGAUAGAAAUGGUGACUUGUGAUCAUGCAUAAGUUAGAUGGGUUUAUUCUAAAACAAAUUACUGGUAGAUGUAGUGAUGCACUAAAUUCAUGUUAUUGGUCCAAGUAGAUGCUUUAAGUACAUUGGUUCAUAUUUCAUAUCAUUAAAGGUGAUAUCUAAUAAGAAGUGACUUAUAAAAUUAGUGAGUGAUAGAAAACAGAGUAGCUACCAAGAUUAUAUGUGGUUGAAUUGUGCCAUUAAAGCUAAUGGGCAAAUCAGCGCUACUAUAUGGAUUGAAAUGUCGGUCUUUUAUAAAAGAUCAUAGUGAGUAAUGGAGGGGAACAAAGAUGUAAUGCUUUAGUGAAUGAGUUGUUGUAUCUUAAAAGAUAGAAUUCGAAACGAAGAUCCAAUGAAGAGUUUAGCCUAAGGAGUCGCAAAUGAUGUGGAAAAUAUGAAUUAGAUGGUUUUGGUAUUUGCAAAGCGGAGUAUUAGCGAACUGAUAAAAAAGAAAAUUGAUAGAGGAUUUAAGGAGAGGGCGAGAAAGACAAAAAGUAAUCUGAAAAUUAAUUGACAAAUUGCAAAUUUUUAUUUAUUAUACGACGUUGAUUUUGUUAUUAACUUUAACUCGCAUUUUUUAAGCCCACUUAAUAUAAUAGGUAUCAUAAA